rnacentral:rRNA from 1 species
CAGGCUGAAGACCUUACCCGAUUAGCUGAGAGGUGGUGCAUGGCCGUCGUCAGUUCGUACUGUGAAGCAUCCUGUUAAGUCAGGCAACGAGCGAGACCCACGUCCACAGUUGCCAGCAUACCCUCCGGGGUGAUGGGUACACUGUGGAGACCGCCGCUGCUAAAGCGGAGGAAGGAGUGGGCAACGGUAGGUCAGUAUGCCCCGAAUCUCCCGGGCUACACGCGGGCUACAAUGGUUAGUACAAUGGGCAUCUACCCCGAAAGGGGAAGGAAAUCUCUUAAAGCCAAUCGUAGUUCGGAUUGAGGGCUGCAACUCGCCCUCAUGAAGCUGGAAUCCGUAGUAAUCGCGUUUCAACAGAACGCGGUGAAUACGUCCCUGCUCCUU